rnacentral:rRNA from 1 species
GACGAACGCUGGCGGCGUGCCUAAUACAUGCAAGUCGAGCGAAGUUUUUCUGGUGCUUGCACUAGAAAAACUUAGCGGCGAACGGGUGAGUAGCACGUAAAGAACCUGCCUCAUAGACUGGGACAACUAUUGGAAACGAUAGCUAAUACCGGAUAACAGUAUUUCUCGCAUGAGAGAUAUUUAAAAGUUGGUUAUGCUAACACUAUGAGAUGGCUUUGCGGUGCAUUAGCUAGUUGGUGGGGUAAAGGCCCACCAAGGCGACGAUGCAUAGCCGACCUGAGAGGGUGAUCGGCCACACUGGGACUGAGACACGGCCCAGACUCCUACGGGAGGCAGCAGUAGGGAAUCUUCCGCAAUGGGCGAAAGCCUGACGGAGCAACGCCGCGUGAGUGAAGAAGGAUUUCGGUUCGUAAAGCUCUGUUGUUAGGGAAGAAUGGAUAUGUAGUAACUAUACAUGUAAGAGACGGUACCUAACCAGAAAGCCACGGCUAACUACGUG